UCUCUCUCUCUCUCUCUCUCUGGGGCUGUGGCCGUAGCUGUGGCCGUGGUUGUGUAUGCGGGUCUGGCGAUGAGCCAAAAAAGAAAAAAGAAGGAAAAAAACUGAUAAGACGCGACUGGUUCACAUGGGUUCUGUGACCUGGGUUUGAUUAAACUGUGAAAGCUUUUUCCUUUGUUUCCUUUUGGGUUUUUUAAGCUUGAAGAUCAGCAACAGUUAGCGGCUUCAGAGAGCGUGACUUUCGAUGGGGGGAUUAAUUCCCUGUACUGUGCGGAUUUAACGGAAAAAUUCAUAUUUUAUGCCUGACCCUUCAGGUAAUUAAUAAUCUCCAUUUUUAUUUAUUUAUUGCAUUAUUCUGGUCUUGGAUUCAGAGAGGAAUACCCUGUCCUUCGACUCUUUUGAUUUUCUUGCAUGCAAUAUGGAACAGGGAACGCAUGACAUAAUUGCUAUACAUAAUAAUGCUUAUUCUCAUGUCUUAUAAUCAGCUCUGGUUCUUAGUCUCCAGCUAGAUAAAGUGGCUUUUUACAGCGUUGUUCAGAUUAAUAUGCAAGAGAACCUUCUUAGCUAGUUCAUACUCCCUUUUCCAUUCUCAAUAGCAAAUUGGAUUUGGAGAAGGACAACAGUUCUAGAGCCAUCAAACUGUGGGAUGAGAGACUUUGUGCGAACAAGAUAUAGUCUGAUGAUCAAGCCACUACUGGAAUAUAUCUUGGCGAGUAUGUGGAUUAAAUUCAUCGUUUAUCUCUCAUCUCCUCUUGGUUCUUGCAGAUAAUAAAAGCUCCUUCGGAAUCCCGUUGAAAAUAAUUGGGUGAACGAAUUUAUGGCACCAAGAGAGCAACUGUUUACCGUCAGUUUGAUUUUUUUCCUCAUCUGUUUGCGCGGCUAAUUUUGUUUGUGUUAAUAAUGAGAGGCAGUUUUUCAUCUUUUUUGAUGGAUUAUAGCUUGAUAGGAACCUAGCCAUAGGAGUCCCGUAAGGAAACUCAGUCUAGUCUUUUCGUUCUUUUAACUCAUUUCUUUCCUACAUUUGAUGGUUCAAGGCUGAUAAGGAUGAUGAAGGAUUGAGCUCUCUCUCUCUCUCUCUCUCUCUCUCUCGUGCGCGUGCAAAAUAUGAUAGCCUUGGGGUGGUGCCACAUUGACUAUCAAAGCAUCAAGAUUGAGCCCUCUACCAUGAGCCAACGGUGAAUGCCAUUCACAAACAAGCUAGGGCCAACUGGGUGGUGAGGGCAUUACUUCCACGACUUAGGAAUCUUCUUCAAUCUUGGCAUGAGUAGUUAUCCAAGGAUGAUUUGGAGUCAAGUCUCUUAGGUAUUUAGAUGGUGUUCAGCUUAAGUAUGACUACUGUAGAAAUGGUUCUUCUCAAGCUAUGAAACUUAGUUUAUGUGAAGUAUUUGAUAGAAUAUUCCAUGUCUUUAUUUAACAACUUAAACUUUUAGAAUAGUUAUUAUUGAUUCACGAAAUCACAUAUGAUAUCAGAGCAGUUGGUUUUAAGUUCAAAUUCUUUCAUGCCCCUAUUGCCUCCCUAAUUAUAUAUUUCAACUCUUACUACUAGGCAAAAAGAUUAGAUUAAAUGUGAGGAGGAGUGAUUGAAAUAUUUAAAUAUUAAAUCAUGUAUUUAUCUAAGAAUUUAUACUCUUAGAAUAGUAUGUAGUGGUCCUACAAAAUCUCAUAGUAUUGAACUUCUUCAAUGUGUCUUGGGGAUCAUAUUUUUUUUUUUGGUCGUAUUGGGGAUCAUAAUUUGAGAUAUAUAUAAUUUUCAUGGAUAAGAAUAGAAGAAUUCCAGAGAGAAAGAUUAUUUUUUAUUUUUGAUUGAUUUAGCUUUGUUCCUCUAAAUUCUUUGUUUGUUUGCUGCAAGAGUUUGUAGAUUCCUGUCUACGAUUUGGCACCCCCUAGUGUGUCCCUUAUACUUGCUCUUUAACAUACUCAGCUGAGAUGUCUUGCAAACUAAAAUAGUUGUUUCUUCCAAGAAACAUGCUUGACAUAUUCUGUUUUUAUCAUAGAAGGAAUCGAGAGUUCAAUUUCCCCACUCUUAUACUCAUUUUUGUAAUUUUCUUGCAUAUUACUUGUGUUUAUUCUCUUAUUCUCUUGAGAAUGAAAAUAUGUCCUGGUUUUACAAGCAAGUCAUGGCUUAUACACAAGGUAGGGUUUCUUGAGAAGCAAGACAAAGAAAUGAAAGAUGAUGGUAUUGGCACAAUAGAGGUAUCUAUGAGGUUGCUCUUCCAUUGCCGGACAUUAUAUCAUGGUGGCAGCCAGGUUUUACUAGUGGGAGGUGAAUGGGCUGUAGAAUGCUCAAUGAUAACAAGUAUGAAUCCCAGAGAGCAGCUUCUUGAAUCCUUAACCGAUGGUGGUAUUAAUGCAUCACAUGUAAGUUGUUAUGCAUUAUUCAGGUGAAGAAAUGGUGCUUCUUUAAUGCAUUCAAUUAUUUUUUUCCAUUGUUGUGUGCUUCUGUCUUUUUUUUUUUUCUGGUGUAAUUGUUGGGAAGGUUUUGUUUUGAUUAUUAUUUUUCUCCAUCCUGCUAGUUCUGACUGAGUCAUGGGAUGCUUCUGUAUUCCAUCCUGCUAGUUCUGACUGAGUCAUGCGAUGCUUCUGUAUUCCAUCCUGCUAGUUCUGACUGAGAGUCAUGAGAGUCAUGGGAUGCUUCAGUAUUGCAUAGGCUUUUAUUGGAACGCUGUUGCUAAUUACUCCAUGAAAUUGAACAGUAUUGGUCUUAUUCAUGAAAACUUGUGUUCUUACUUUUGGUA